GACGAACGCUGGCGGCGUGCUUAACACAUGCAAGUCGAACGGAAAGGCCCUGCUUUUGUGGGGUGCUCGAGUGGCGAACGGGUGAGUAACACGUGAGUAACCUGCCCUUGACUUUGGGAUAACUUCAGGAAACUGGGGCUAAUACCGGAUAGGAGCUCCUGCUGCAUGGUGGGGGUUGGAAAGUUUCGGCGGUUGGGGAUGGACUCGCGGCUUAUCAGCUUGUUGGUGGGGUAGUGGCUUACCAAGGCUUUGACGGGUAGCCGGCCUGAGAGGGUGACCGGCCACAUUGGGACUGAGAUACGGCCCAGACUCCUACGGGAGGCAGCAGUGGGGAAUAUUGCACAAUGGGCGGAAGCCUGAUGCAGCAACGCCGCGUGCGGGAUGACGGCCUUCGGGUUGUAAACCGCUUUCGCCUGUGACGAAGCGUGAGUGACGGUAAUGGGUAAAGAAGCACCGGCUAACUACGUGCCAGCAGCCGCGGUGAUACGUAGGGUGCGAGCGUUGUCCAGAUUUAUUGGGCGUAAAGGGCUCGUAGGUGGUUGAUCGCGUCGGAAGUGUAAUCUUGGGGCUUAACCCUGAGCGUGCUUUCGAUACGGGUUGACUUGAGGAAGGUAGGGGAGAAUGGAAUUCCUGGUGGAGCGGUGGAAUGCGCAGAUAUCAGGAGGAACACCAGUGGCGAAGGCGGUUCUCUGGGCCUUUCCUGACGCUGAGGAGCGAAAGCGUGGGGAGCGAACAGGCUUAGAUACCCUGGUAGUCCACGCUGUAAACGGUGGGUACUAGGUGUGGGGUCCAUUCCACGGGUUCCGUGCCGUAGCUAACGCUUUAAGUACCCCGCCUGGGGAGUACGGCCGCAAGGCUAAAACUCAAAGGAAUUGACGGGGCCCCGCACAAGCGGCGGAGCAUGCGGAUUAAUUCGAUGCAACGCGUAGAACCUUACCUGGGUUUGACAUGGAUCGGGAGUGCUCAGAGAUGGGUGUGCCUCUUUUGGGGUCGGUUCACAGGUGGUGCAUGGCUGUCGUCAGCUCGUGUCGUGAGAUGUUGGGUUAAGUCCCGCAACGAGCGCAACCCUUGUUCACUGUUGCCAGCACGUUAUGGUGGGGACUCAGUGGAGACCGCCGGGGUCAACUCGGAGGAAGGUGGGGAUGACGUCAAGUCAUCAUGCCCCUUAUGUCCAGGGCUUCACGCAUGCUACAAUGGCUGGUACAGAGAGUGGCGAGCCUGAGAGGGUGAGCGAAUCUCGGAAAGCCGGUCUCAGUUCGGAUUGGGGUCCGCAACUCGACCUCAUGAAGUCGGAGUCGCUAGUAAUCGCAGAUCAGCAACGCUGCGGUGAAUACGUUCCCGGG
rnacentral:rRNA from 1 species